AGUGAACGCUGGCGGUAGGCCUAACACAUGCAAGUCGAACGGCAGCACAGGAGAGCUUGCUCUCUGGGUGGCGAGUGGCGGACGGGUGAGGAAUACAUCGGAAUCUACUCUGUCGUGGGGGAUAACGUAGGGAAACUUACGCUAAUACCGCAUACGACCUACGGGUGAAAGCAGGGAUCUUCGGACCUUGCGCGAUUGAAUGAGCCGAUGUCGGAUUAGCUAGUUGGCGGGGUAAAGGCCCACCAAGGCGACGAUCCGUAGCUGGUCUGAGAGGAUGAUCAGCCACACUGGAACUGAGACACGGUCCAGACUCCUAUGGGAGGCAGCAGUGGGGAAUAUUGGACAAUGGGCGCAAGCCUGAUCCAGCCAUACCGCGUGGGUGAAGAAGGCCUUCGGGUUGUAAAGCCCUUUUGUUGGGAAAGAAAUCCAGCUGGCUAAUACCCGGUUGGGAUGACGGUACCCAAAGAAUAAGCACCGGCUAACUUCGUGCCAGCAGCCGCGGUAA
rnacentral:rRNA from 1 species